CAUUAAGAAGCUAUGCACUUAGCACUAGCCUUUUAAGCUAGAGAAAGGGGACUACUUACCCCCUUAAUGG
rnacentral:tRNA from 1 species